UUUUGACCGACCAAUGUUGGUCGGUACAACUUGGUCGGUUUUUAGCGGAUUUCUAUUAUUGAAACCUUUAACAACUAAUAUCUCCUUGUACCUACGUGUAGAGGUAUGUUGAUCUUACUUUUCUCUAAAAAUUUAUUUGUUUGAUAAAGCUCUCUUACCUUACGGCAGUUUCACUGACUCAUAUGUGACAUUCUCAUGGAACGACUUCAUAUUAUCUUUUGUGGCUUCUACAUACCGAUCUUUGUAUUCUAAGAGAGGUUUCAGGAGCAUUCGAAGUAGUUACUUGAACAGGAAUUGGUUGUUGAUUAACUAAAACUUCAUUAAUUGGAGCAUCCAUAAUAUCUGCAGCUUAAUAAUAAUUUUGAUCUUGAUCACUCUA